GAUAUUUGGCGGCAUCGUGCUCUUCUUGUUUGAUUUGUUUUUUAUUUGGGUGAUCUAAGCAGAAUAAUCAUCAAUCAAUGGAUAAGAGAAGGGAAUUGCCAUCUCCGUCAAUGACCAAUAUGGACGACGGAAGGGCUGGUUCAUUGAGCACUGGCAGAGUCCAAAGACAUGACGAAAGACACAUUUCUUUUGACAAUAAGAGCUUCAAACAGCUCAAACUGAAGGAUGCCCGGAGCCCGAAAUCUACACGGAUUUGCAAAAGUGGCGGGGAUGGAGAAGAUAUGCCGUAUUCGCUUAAGGAGAUGACGAAGUUUAUG